rnacentral:rRNA from 1 species
CCCUUAGAUGUUCUGGGCCGCACGCGCGCUACACUGAUGCAUUCAACGAGUCUAAAACCUGCUCUGAUAGGGGUGGGUAAUCUUUUGAAUGUGCAUCGUGAUUGGGAUAGAUGAUUGCAAUUUUUCAUCUUCAACGAGGAAUGCCUAGUAAACGCAAGUCAUCAGCUUGCAUUGAUUACGUCCCUGCCCUUUGUACACACCGCCCGUCGCCCCUACCGAUUGAAUGAUCCGAUGAAUAUCAUGGAUUGAGGAUGCAAGUAGGUUAGCCUAUCUUCAUCUUCGAGAAGUGAAGUAAAUCUUAUCAUUUAGAGGAAGGAGAAGUCGUAACA